AGUGAACGCUGGCGGUAGGCCUAACACAUGCAAGUCGAACGGCAGCACAGUAAGAGCUUGCUCUUACGGGUGGCGAGUGGCGGACGGGUGAGGAAUACAUCGGAAUCUACUUUUUCGUGGGGGAUAACGUAGGGAAACUUACGCUAAUACCGCAUACGACCUACGGGUGAAAGCAGGGGAUCUUCGGACCUUGCGCGAUUGAAUGAGCCGAUGUCGGAUUAGCUAGUUGGCGGGGUAAAGGCCCACCAAGGCGACGAUCCGUAGCUGGUCUGAGAGGAUGAUCAGCCACACUGGAACUGAGACAAGGUCCAGACUCCUACGGGAGGCAGCAGUGGGGAAAAUUGGGCAAUGGGCGGAAGCCUGAUCCAGGCAUACCGCGUGGGUGAAGAAGGCCUUCGGGUUUUAAAGCCCUUUUGUUGGGAAAGAAAAGCAGCAGGUUAAUACCCCGCUGUUCUGACGGUACCCAAAGAAUAAGCACCGGCUAACUUCGUG
rnacentral:rRNA from 1 species